rnacentral:rRNA from 1 species
UACGGAGGGUGCAAGCGUUAUCCGGAUUCACUGGGUUUAAAGGGUGCGUAGGUGAGUUGAUAAGUCAGUGGUGAAAUAUCCCGGCUUAACCGGGAGGGUGGCAUUGAUACUGCAGGACUUGAGUAGAGUUGAAGUGGGCGGAAUUGACGGUGUAGCGGUGAAAUGCUUAGAUAUCGUCAAGAACACCGAUAGUGAAGACAGCUCACUAAGCUCAAACUGACGCUGAGGCACGAAAGUGUGGGGAUCAAACAGG